GUGUCAGCAGCCGCGGUAAUACGAAGGGCCCGAGCGUUAAUCGGAAUCACUGGGCUUAAAGGGUGUGUAGGCGGAUGCGCAAGUGCUUUGUGAAAUACCACGGCUUAACCGUGGAAUUGCUCGGCAAACUGCGUGUCUUGAGGUCGAUAGGGGCAACCGGAACUCUAGGUGGAGCGGUGAAAUGCGUAGAUAUCUAGAGGAACGCCAAAGGUGAAGACAGGUUGCUGGAUCGAUUCUGACGCUGAGACACGAAAGCGUGGGUAGCGAACGGGAUUAGAUACCCCGGUAGUCCACGCCCUAAACGAUGUGUACUAGGCCGUGGAGGCUCUGACGCCAUCACGACCGAAGCUAAAGUGUUAAGUACACCGCCUGGGGAGUACGGUCGCAAGGCUAAAACUUAAAUGAAUUGACGGGG
rnacentral:rRNA from 1 species